rnacentral:miRNA from 1 species
AGCCUGGAGUCAAGAAAAUCUGAGUUCAAAUCCAACCUCA